GGAGUUUCGUGGGACCCACUCUGCGCGGGGAGCGGCGGGAUGGCUCAGUGGCGCCGUCCGCGUUCCUUGGGACGAGCUGGUACAGAAAAUCCAAAGAACACUGCAGGAAGAACACAUUUCCUGAAAGAUAAAGCCACUCAAGAGCACAGGCCUAUUGACAUCUUUGACUUCCCUGAGAAUUCUGUGAUCUCCAGAAAUGACAAAGAUGAAGAAGCCUAUGAAAACUUCG